UACGUAGGGGGCAAGCGUUGUCCGGAUUUAUUGGGCGUAAAGAGCGUGUAGGCGGCUUGGUAGGUCCGCUGUGAAAACUCGAGGCUCAACCUCGAGAUGUCGGCGGAAACCACUUGGCUAGAGUCCGGAAGAGGAGAGUGGAAUUCCUGGUGUAGCGGUGAAACGCGCAGAUAUCAGGAAGAACACCCGUGGCGAAAGCGGCUCUCUGGAACGGUACUGACGCUGAGACGCGAAAGCGUGGGGAGCGAACAGG
rnacentral:rRNA from 1 species